GCAGUCUGAAAAUUACCCCUGAUGUGUCGGUUGUCCAGGGUAAGAUAACUGUGCCUACAGGAAAGUGGUGUAUAAAGCUUAUUGUCUGCUUUAUAGCAGUGCAAUGAAACCCAUGCACCCACAGUU